GUUUCAGGGCGAGGUGCGAUUCCUCACCGGCGGUAAGGGGCGUUGCCCCGAGCCCGCGACCGCACAGUCUCUGCUGUGCGCUGAUCUGGUGUAAUUCCAGAGCCGACGGUAUAGUCCGGAUAGAAGAAA
rnacentral:ncRNA from 1 species